AGUGAACGCUGGCGGCAGGCCUAAUACAUGCAAGUCGAACGGCAGCACAGUGGAGCUUGCUCCAUGGGUGGCGAGUGGCGGACGGGUGAGGAAUACAUGGGAAUCUGCCCAGUCGUGGGGGAUAACGUAGGGAAACUUACGCUAAUACCGCAUGCGCCCUUCGGGGGAAAGUCGGGGACCUUCGGGCCUGGCGCGAUUGGAUGAGCCCAUGUUCGAUUAGCUAGUUGGCGGGGUAAAGGCCCACCAAGGCGACGAUCGAUAGCUGGUCUGAGAGGAUGAUCAGCCACACUGGGACUGGGACACGGCCCAGACUCCUACGGGAGGUAGCAGAAGGGAAUAUUGGACAAUGGGCGCAAGCCUGAUCCAGCCAUGCCGCGUGAGUGAAGAAGGCCCUCGGGUUGUAAAGCUCUUUUGUCCGGGAAGAAAAGCAUCGGGCUAAUACCUCGGUGUUCUGACGGUACCGGAAGAAUAAGCACCGGCUAACUUCGUG
rnacentral:rRNA from 1 species